UUCAGUAUGUGAUAAAUGUGUUGAAAUAAAAAUCUGGUUAUGGUUUUAACUCCAUUAUACUGUAUAAUUGUUUCAGAGAAGCUGACUUUGGGGAAACUCUGAGACGCAGUGGAUUCGGGAAGACUUCAGAAGAUUCUGGUUUUGGAAACAAGUAACUUUCCAAGGGGAGGGGUUUCAGUCAGACCCGGGUACGAGUCCUGUUCAGAAUCUACGGAGCUCUGAAGAUCCAGCAGCUUUCCAUGUGGUUCAGCCCGAUCCGUUCCCCGCCACGACACCUGACCCGACCGAUCCGAACCGUCCGUUACCUACACAGACAGAAGCGGUCCGACCGAAUCCUAAUCAGGCCUGCAGAGUACCGACUCUCCGUGUGAGAAGGAGCAGGAUCGAGAGGGCUCUCCGACGCAGAACGGGCCCGCGCGGGUAUCUGUCAAGAAGAAAUCAUUCGUCCACCGUCGAUGAAUUGAGGAGUCACUGCCUUCAGACCAUCCUACAUUUAACUGAACUCUGCAUAAGAUUGUUUGAGGAAGAAAAUAGCUGAAAAAAUGUCUAGUUUGUCAAAUCAUACUGAUCACGCUGAAAUAAAUUAUUUUCACGAGUUAGAACAGGCUUUACAAAAUCUUAUUCAACAGAACUCUCCGUCAACCUCAGAAGCUAAUGACAUUUCUGUUCUGAGUCAAUCGUUACAAAAUGUUUUAAACAACGCUGAGCAGA